GCAGACUCACUCUGUUCCCUGCUGCUCGCUCCAGCCGGGAACUUUUUCUGUCUGCGACAUGAACGUGCAGAAUGUGACAUUUUUACUGGCUUUGUAGAAAGCUGGUGUCAACGUGUUCUGCUACAUUAGA
ensembl:snoRNA small nucleolar RNA, H/ACA box 77B